UACGAAGGGGGGCGAGCGUUGUUCGGAUUUACUGGGCGUAAAGGGCGCGCAGGCGGCUUAUUUUGUCAGGCGUGAAAGCCCCGGGCUUAACCUGGGAACUGCGUUUGAUACGGAUGGGCUAGAGUUCGGGAGAGGAGAGUGGAAUUCCCAGUGUAGAGGUGAAAUUCGUAGAUAUUGGGAAGAACACCGGUGGCGAAGGCGGCUCUCUGGACCGAUACGUGACGCUGAGGCGCGAAAGCGUGGGGAGCAAACAGG
rnacentral:rRNA from 1 species